ensembl:snoRNA small nucleolar RNA SNORA31
AUGCAUCUAUUUGACAUGCCUGGAGCAGUUACUGUCUGCUAAGGUUUCCAAUACAGAUGCAAGAAAAAAGUCCUUGCACUUUCUGUCCGGUUGUGGCAGUCCAGGUUGAAUGGGAGGAUACAGGG